AGAGUUUGAUCAUGGCUCAGAACGAACGCUGGCGGCGUGCUUAACACAUGCAAGUCGAACGCGAAAGGGACUUCGGUCCCGAGUAGAGUGGCGCACGGGUGAGUAACGCGUAAGUAAUCUACCCCUGUAUCUGGAAUAACCCACCGAAAGGUGAGCUAAUACCGGAUACGUUUAUCUUGAUGCGAAUGAUGAUAAAGAAAGGUGGCCUCUUCAUGAAAGCUACCGUACAGGGACGAGCUUGCGUACCAUUAGCUGGUUGGUAGGGUAAUGGCCUACCAAGGCGACGAUGGUUAGCGGGUCUGAGAGGAUGAUCCGCCACACUGGAACUGAAACACGGACCAGACUCCUACGGGAGGCAGCAGUGAGGAAUAUUGCGCAAUGGGGGCAACCCUGACGCAGCGAUGCCGCGUGGACGAUGAAGGCCCUUGGGUCGUAAAAUCCUGUCAGAUGGAAAGAAAUGUACAGGUGUUAAUAUCGCCUGUAUUUGACGGUACCAUCAAAGGAAGCACCGGCUAACUCCGUGCCAGCAGCCGCGGUAAUACGGAGGGUGCGAGCGUUGUUCGGAAUUACUGGGCGUAAAGCGCGCGUAGGCGGUUUGCUAAGUCAGAUGUGAAAGCCCUCGGCUUAACCGGGGACGUGCAUUUGAAACUGGCAGACUUGAGUACUGGAGGGGGUG
rnacentral:rRNA from 1 species